rnacentral:tRNA from 1 species
CGGGCUCGGUGUGGCGGUCACCGAGGGAGCCCUGCAGCGGCUCGCCGCGGCCGGCCGGGUCGUCCAGGGCGAGUUCCACCCCGCCGGGAUCGG